ACCCUGGACGGGGGAUCACUCGGCUCGUCCGUCGAUGAAGAGCGCGGCCAGCCGCGAGAACUGAUGCGAAUUGCAGGACUCAGUGAACAUCGACACCUCGAACGCACAUUGCGGCCUCGAGAUCCCUUGUCUCGGGGCCACGUCCGGUCGAGAGGCGGAAACAUGACAUGUCCUUCCAGUAAUUACUAGGAAGAACAUCUUGCCGUCCCCGCGCCGCUUUCCCGCGCGGUGGGAACCGGGACGUCGCAGGCUUAACCUUAGCCUUCGUCUCCCGCAUGGCAGACCGCGGAGUCUUUCCCGUUUGACCGCGAGCAGAACAAACACCGACGUCGCCGUGGCGAUGAUGGUGCCGGAGUAACAAAGAUGGAGCCAGGAAGAGCCUUGUCCGCUGACCUCGUCGGCGCAAGCGUCGCCCUGCUCGUCUCGCUCUCCGCAGGUUUUUUACCUUGAGAGGCGACGACGAGCACAGUCCUCGCAAGGCGGCCACGUCGAAAGAGGCAGCAUUCGAACGCGACACGGCGAUGCGCAUCGUCGGCCCGCCGAAACACGGCCGACAGCGCGAGAUUCCGCUCCCGCUUUUACUCUACUACGGUUUUCCAUCAGAUCGGUCGCCAACGGUCGCAACGUCGGACCAAUAAUCCAUAACCGCCCUCGGCUCGGACGAGACGACCCGCUGAACUUAAGCAUAUCGCUAAGCGGAGGAAAAGAAACCAACCGGGAUUCCCUUAGUAACGGCGAGUGAACCGGGAGAAGCCCAACGCCGAAUCCCGUCGCAAGUAAAAGGCUUCGGGACGUGUGGCGCAUGGGUCGAAGGCAGCCGUUCGUUUUCGUCUCGCGUAGUUCGGAGUUCCCUCGAUCGGGGCCGCCCGCGGCGGGUGCCAGGCCCAUUCGGUGCGGACGGCGAGCGACGGCCUUCGAUCCGAGAGUCGGGUUGCUUGGGAACGCAGCCCAAAUCGGGUGGUAAGCUCCAUCCAAGGCUAAAUACCGGGACGAGUCCGAUAGUCGACAAGUACCGUGAGGGAAAGUUGAAAAGAACUUUGGAGAGAGAGUUCAAGAGAACGUGAAACCGCCCAGGGGUAAACGGGUGGGACCGCUCACCGCGAUCGCGGGGGGACUCAGUCCGGUGCUGCCAAGGCUCCGGCCCAAACUCGAUGUGUUACCAACGAGGCCGUCGCGGACGGUCGUCCGACCCGCGGGGGGACUCGUUCCUCCGCGGGCCAGCUUUUGCGCCCGCGUCGCCGACGAAGGAGACGGGCCGCGCGGACAGCUUCACGGCUCCCUCUGCGCGCGACUCCGCCGCACCCGUUUCCUUCUCGCCGUUCGGCAAUCUAUGGCGCGGGCGCUUCGGCGCGACCUCUGCGCGGCCGGCACCGGACGCACUUCCCCUCCGGUCCGUCGUCGCGACCCGUUCCCGGCGUGCAGGUCGAACGCGCGGGUAUUCCCGUAGGCGGCAGGCGCUUUUGAAAACCCCUCCUCGUUCUGCGUGGGGGGGCCACCGGCCGUCGGGCCCGCGAACCGUAACUGCCCCUUUCUGCCGGGGACGGAGGAAAUCGAACGCGAUCCGUUACACGUGGCGAGCCGGUCCGUUUUUAAUCCCGUCGGACGUCGCGCGCGGGCUUCGGCCCCUUUGGCGCCCCACCGUCUCGGGCGUGCGCACGAGAAGAGACGAGAGAGGACCGGCGCGGCCUCGCCGUUCAGCACCUCGCCGUCGUUCGGCCGUCGCGGGGCUCGCCCCCGUCCACGGUCGUUUCGAUCGCGCGUGGUCGCUCGGCGACGCUCUAAAAGCCGCCCGCCACCUCGGGUCAGCGACGUGCAUCGGCAACCCACCCGACCCGUCUUGAAACACGGACCGAGGAGUCCUGGCCGUUCGCGAGUCGUAGGGGCCCCCUCUGACUAACCCCGAAGGCGUAGCGAAAGCGAGAGAGCGUGUCGGGGGGCGUCGAACGGGAGAGGUGUCGCGGCGAAGUCGUCGGGUUGGGAGCUCGUCUCCUCUUCUCGCCUCCGAGCCGUGCCCGAUCCCGCCGGCGCGGUGUUUCCGCCUUCCGUUGCCGUCGUCGCGUCGCCUGCACGUCCCCUUCGGGGACGGAGGGCUUCGCGGCAGGCCGGCGGUCGUCUUCCCGUCUCCCCGAGAGGGGACCGGCGUGGAGUUGCGGGGCAUCAGCUUCCAUCCUCCGUCCGCCCAUCGGUGAGAUCCCGCGGCUUGAACUAGUCCUAUUUUGUCGUCGAGUUUAGGCACUGCGCGCGGGCGCAUCACCCCCGGGUCGGUUCCUUCUUACGAGUACGACUCGGCCGACUCUGGCGUAGCGAGCGACCAGGGACCCGAAAGAUGGCGAUCCACGCCCGGUCGGGAUGAAGCCAGAGGAAACUCUGGUGGAAGUCCGAAGCGCCUCUGACGUGCAAAUCGAUCGUCGGAACCGGGUGUAGGGGCGAAAGACCAAUCGAGCCGUCUAGUAGCUGGUUCCCUCCGAAGUUUCCCUCAGGAUAGCUGGCGCUCGAUCUU
rnacentral:rRNA from 1 species